CCUACGGGUGGCAGCAGUGAGGAAUAUUGGUCAAUGGACGAGAGUCUGAACCAGCCAAGUAGCGUGAAGGAUGACGGCCCUAUGGGUUGUAAACUUCUGUUAUAUGGGAAUAAAAUGUUCCACGUGUGGGAUUUUGUAUGGACCAUAUGAAUAAGGAUCGGCUAACUCCGUGCCAGCAGCCGCGGUAAUACGGAGGAUCCGAGCGUUAUCCGGGUUUAAUGGGGUUAAAGGGAGCGUAGGGGGAUUGUUAAGUCAGUUGUGAAAGUUUGCGGCUCAACCGUAAAAUUUCAGGUGAAACGGGCAGUCUUGAGUACAGUAGAGGUGGGCGGCCUUCGUGUUGUAGCGGU
rnacentral:rRNA from 1 species